rnacentral:rRNA from 1 species
UACGGAGGGUGCGAGCGUUAAUCGGAAUUACUGGGCGUAAAGCGCGCGUAGGCGGUUUGUUAAGUCGGAUGUGAAAGCCCCGGGCUCAACCUGGGAACUGCAUUCGAUACUGGCAAGCUAGAGUACGAGAGAGGGAGGUAGAAUUCCACGUGUAGCGGUGAAAUGCGUAGAUAUGUGGAGGAAUACCAGUGGCGAAGGCGGCCUCCUGGCUCGAUACUGACGCUCAUGUGCGAAAGCGUGGGGAGCAAACAGG